ACCGUGGUAAUUCUAGAGCUAAUACAUGCUUAAACGCCCGACUUUAUGGAAGGGUGGUAUUUAUUAGACUGAAGCCAAUAUUCCUUGUGUCUAUUGCGGUGAUUCAUAAUAACUGAUCGAAUCUCUUUUUGAGAUAAAUCAUUCAAGUUUCUGCCCUAUCAGCUUUCGAUGGUAGUGUAUUGGACUACCAUGGCAGUAACGGGUAACGAAGAAUUAGGGUUCGAUUUCGGAGAGGGAGCAUGAGAAACGGCUACCACAUCUAAGGAAGGCAGCAGGCGCGUAAAUUACCCAAUCCUGACUCAGGGAGGUAGUGACAAGAAAUAGCAAACCGGGAACCUCAUGGUUUCACGGUAUUGCAAUGAGAACAAUUUAAAACCCUUAGCGAGAAUCAAGUGGAGGACAAGUCUGGUGCCAGCACCCGCGGUAAUUCCAGCUCCACUAGCGUAUAUUAAAGUUGUUGCAGUUAAAAAGCUCGUAGUUGAACCUCUGUCUGGGGCUAGUUUUGGCUUUGGUCAGGCUAGUUCUAGGCAUCCGCCUACAAGACUUAGAGGGCAUUCAGUUGUUCACUAGGAGGAGUAGGCAUUUUACUUUGAAAAAAUUAGAGUGUUUAAGGCAGGCAAUCGCCCGCAUAUAUUAGCAUGGAAUAAUAGAAUAGGACACUUUUCCAUUUCGUUGGUUAUUGGAAUCGUGUAAUGAUUAAUAGGGACAGUUGUGGGCAUUUGUAUUUAAUUGUCAGAGGUGAAAUUCUUGGAUUUAUUAAAGACAAACUAACGCGAAAGCAUUUGCCAAGGAUGUUUUCAUUAAUCAAGAACGAAAGUUAGGGGAUCAAAGACGAUCAGAUACCGUCCUAGUCUUAACUAUAAACUAUUCCGACUCAAUGUUUGACUGGCUUAUAUAACCAGUUGAGCGUUGUAUUAGAAAUCAAAGUCUUUAGGUUCUGGGGGGAGUAUGGUUGCAAAGCUGAAACUUAAAGGAAUUGACGGAAGAGCACAACCAGGAGUGGAUUCUGCGGCUUAAUUUGACUCAACACGGGGAAACUUACCAGGUUAAAACAAUAGUGGGAUUGACAGUUUGAGAGCGCUUUCUUGAUUGGUUGGGUGGUGGUGCAUGGCCGUUCUUAGUUGGUGGAGUGAUUUGUCUGCUUAAUUGCGUUAACGAACGAGACCUUAACCUGCUUACUAGACUGGCGAUCAUCAAUCGUUAGCUCUUCUUAGAGGGACUUUGGUUGUUUUAACUCCAAGGAAGUUUGAGGCAAUAACAGGUCUGUGAUGCCCUUAGAUAUCCUGGGCCGCACGCGUCA
rnacentral:rRNA from 1 species